rnacentral:rRNA from 1 species
GACGAACGCUGGCGGCGUGCCUAAUACAUGCGAGUUGAGCGAUGAAGAUUGGUGCUUGCACCAAUUUGAAGAGCAGCGAACGGGUGAGUAACGCGUGGGGAAUCUGCCUUUGAGCGGGGGACAACAUUUGGAAACGAAUGCUAAUACCGCAUAACAACUUUAAACAUAAGUUUUAAGUUUGAAAGGUGCAAUUGCAUCACUCAAAGAUGAUCCCGCGUUGUAUUAGCUAGUUGGUGAGGUAAAGGCUCACCAAGGCGAUGAUACAUAGCCGACCUGAGAGGGUGAUCGGCCACAUUGGGACUGAGACACGGCCCAAACUCCUACGGGAGGCAGCAGUAGGGAAUCUUCGGCAAUGGACGAAAGUCUGACCGAGCAACGCCGCGUGAGUGAAGAAGGUUUUCGGAUCGUAAAACUCUGUUGGUAGAGAAGAACGUUGGUGAGAGUGGAAAGCUCAUCAAGUGACGGUAACUACCCAGAAAGGGACGGCUAACUACGU